GUGCUCACUUCGGCAGCACAUAUUCUAAAACUGGAACGAUACAGAGAAGAGUUACAUGGCCCUUGUGCAAGGAUGACACGCAAAUUCAUGAAGCAUUCCAUAUUUUU